rnacentral:rRNA from 1 species
CCUACGGGGGGCUGCAGUGAGGAAUAUUGGACAAUGGACGAGAGUCUGAACCAGCCAAGUAGCGUGAAGGAUGACUGCCCUCUGGGUUGUAAACUUCUUUUAUAUGGGAAUAAAACAGGGUAUGCAUACCCUCUUGUAUGUACCAUAUGAAUAAGGAUCGGCUAACUCAGUGCUCGCAGCCGCGGUAAUACGGUGGAUCCGAGCGUUAUUCGGAUUGAUUGGGUUGAAAGGGAGCGUAGGUGGAUUGUUAAGUCAGUUGUGAAAGUUUGCGGCUCAACCGUAAAAUUGCAGUUGAAACUGGCAGUCUAGAGUACAGUAGAGGUGGGCGGAAUUCGUGGUGUAGCGGUGAAAUGCUUAGAUAUCACGAAGAACUCCGAUUGUGAAGGCAGCUCACUGGACUGCAACUGACACUGAUGCACGAAAGUGUGGGUAUCAAACAGGAUUAGAUACCCCAGUAGUC